AGCCACCAGAUUGGUUAUCCAUGGAUUUAACGGCCACGAUCGCGGAACACACAUCAGCAAGAUGCUCGACCUUUAUAGCCUCCAUUGUGAAUGCUCAUUCCUAUAACAUCUUAAUAUCCAGAAGGGCAAAAAUUAAACAGAAAGGGCUAGCGGCAAGGGGAGGAGGAGAAUGGUAUUUUACUGUUUUCUGGUGGACCAAACACGACGAGUGCUUCAGAGCAAGCCCGCGGCGGGCACGUGCUCGCGGUGUGGCGGAGGAGCCAGAGUGGCGGACAUAAGAACGGCCACCAGAUUCUGUUAUGUCCCAUUUUAUUGGAAAUCUUGGAGAGCCGUCGUCUGCACUUCUUGUGGAGCCGUUCUUCGUUCUUACCGUUAGAUGCUCUAUCAUUCCCAUUUGGCUUUUUCCAACCACGUACGCACUUUUAACUUUCUCCCAGGUUUCCCCUAUUCGUUCUGUCUGAUCAAAUCAUCUGUUUGUUUUUAACAAUUUUUUUUUCUGUGACCUGAUAUUUAGUUUCUGUGCUUGUCCCUCUUGCUCGAGAAUCUGUCUAUCUCUAGCUUGAAAACAGGAGCAGAAGCACUCGAAAGAUCACUGGUUGGCUUUUGGUCAUGUUUUUCCUUGAGCAGGCAUAUUCUGCUUGUAGAGGAGGAGGAUAUAGUGUAUUAGUUUGCUUUCUAGACCUUUCUCAUUUUUUGCUGACGUGGCUGGUUUGUGGGCUCACUUUUUGUGACAUGUAGGCGUCUGACCACAAGUUGACCAUUUCUCUGUUCCUCUUCCCCCUCCAGUUCCAACAAGUCGACACCUUUCGAACCCCCAUCCGAAUUACCUACACCAACCUCAUCAUCGAAAUUCAUCAAAUGCUUGGUUUCCUCAGGCAGAAGAUUUUACCUCUCCCUACCUUCCCAGUAUUUCUAAUUCUAAUUCCCAUCACCCAAACAACAAAGCUCUCUGCUCUUUGUUCGUUUUUGUUUGUGGGUUGUUUAGAGGAAAAGGAAGAGGGAAAAUAGGAAGAACAAGAGGAGGAGGAGGUUGAAAUUCACAAAUAAUGUGAAGGAAAACGACGGAACCAAGAUGAAGAAUAAGGAUCUCUGAUAAAAACAGAGGAAGCAAAACAGAGCAUUGAGUAGUUGCAGAUACGAAAUCCCAGAAAUCUGAGGAAUGCCAGAGAAUUGAAUCGUUCUGUACAAUGGGGUUCUGACAGAUCGAGUGCACAGGCUGAAGUACUCUUGCUGAUGAAAUCGUCAUGGCCGUUACUGGGUUCAUCGAGAAAAUCAAGGCGAGAGAGAAAGCACGGGAAACUGGAAGAGACGAAGAAGACGACUUGAGGUGUCUGUCUGUGAAGCGUUUUCAUUAGUCGGGUUUAAUUUAGGAAUUAAUAAAUUAAGUAAUUUGUGUGUUUGUGGAGAAGGAGGAAUGAAAAAUCUAAAAGAGAAAUCUUGUGACGGUAAAUACAUAAGAGAGAAGGGGCUUUGUCCGAUUCACGAGGAGUGGAAGUGGAAGACAAGAAGGAAGAAAUUGUCAACCUGGUCAAACACAUUCGUGUCACAAGAAAUGGGCCUCACAAGCCAGAUACAACAGCAAUGAACGGAACAGAUCACGGUUGAUUGAUGGAGGAAAAAAUUUGUUCUUAACAAAAUAAUUCAAGGGCAAAAAUACUUCACUUUAUAAUAUAUAGAAUGUCUAAUACUUUUCAAGUA